rnacentral:rRNA from 1 species
AAUCAACGCUGGCGGCGUGCCUCAGACAUGCAAGUCGAACGCGAAAGUCUCCUUCGGGGGACAAGUAGAGUGGCGCACGGGUGAGUAACACGUAGGUAAUCUACCUUUGGAUGGGGAAUAACAACCGGAAACGGUUGCUAAUACCGCAUAAUGCAGCGGCACCUAAUGGUGACAGUUGUUAAAGCGGGGGAUCGAAAGACCUCGCGUCUGAAGAGGAGCCUGCGGCGGAUUAGCAGUUGGUAAGGUAAUGGCUUACCAAGGCUACGAUCCGUAA